GAUGGGGCAGGCCUUCUUGCGGAUGAGAGUGAUGUAAGAUGUAUUGAUGCUCUACAGAUUUAUUGUUCCAUUAAAAGAAUCCCCAAUCAAUGCAUAAAAGUUUGGUGCAAGGACAUCCCAACAAUUAUUGAUGAACUUGGUGUUGAAACCAUCUGGACCAUGUGCUUUCUCUGUUGGGAGCUCUUUGAUGACAUAGUCAAUCUCUUCUUUGGACUAGCACAAUACUCGUGCGUUGCUACGAAACCAUUGGCUUAGAGAUGGUAAAAUAGCAUUAAUAUUCUUGAUGACCAUUGUUAGAGCAUAUAUCUCCAUAUGUGGUUUUGGUAAUUGAUGACAAUUCCUAUGGACUAAUGGUUGCCUUAAGUUAUAUUUAUAGGAUUUGUCCAUAGGAGCGUCCUGAAGUCCAUCUGUUGGGUUCAAGGAGUUUAUAUGUUGACCAAGAUGCUAUUCAAGUUAUUAUCCAAAGAACGGUCAUAGAAACACUAGGUUGAUCAAGAUCUCAUACAAAGAGUAAAUCAAGAUGAUCAACACAUUGCUUUUAUUGCGAUUUGUCCAU
rnacentral:lncRNA from 1 species